rnacentral:rRNA from 1 species
UAACCAUGCAAGUCGAACGCUCACCUUCGGGUGGGAGUGGCAGACGGGUGAGUAACACGUGGGAACGUACCCUUUGGUUCGGGACAACUCUGGGAAACUGGAGCUAAUACCGGAUACGCCCUUUUGGGGAAAGGUUUACUGCCGAAGGAUCGGCCCGCGUCUGAUUAGCUAGUUGGUGGGGUAACGGCCUACCAAGGCGACGAUCAGUAGCUGGUCUGAGAGGAUGAUCAGCCACACUGGGACUGAGACACGGCCCAGACUCCUACGGGAGGCAGCAGUGGGGAAUAUUGGACAAUGGGCGCAAGCCUGAUCCAGCCAUGCCGCGUGAGUGAUGAAGGCCUUAGGGUUGUAAAGCUCUUUUAUCCGGGACGAUAAUGACGGUACCGGAGGAAUAAGCCCCGGCUAACUUCGUGCCAGCAGCCGCGGUAAUACGAAGGGGGCUAGCGUUGCUCGGAAUCACUGGGCGUAAAGGGCGCGUAGGCGGCGUUUUAAGUCGGGGGUGAAAGCCUGUGGCUCAACCACAGAAUGGCCUUCGAUACUGGGACGCUUGAGUCUGGUAGAGGUUGGUGGAACUGCGAGUGUAGAGGUGAAAUUCGUAGAUAUUCGCAAGAACA